AUCCAUUGAAAUAUGCUGCCAAGCUUGUUGAGGAUUUGGCAAGGGCUACAAUAGGCCAACAAGCAAAGAAUGGUCAAUCUUGCUUCUAGCACAUAAAUCACACUGUUUCACCCAUUUAGUCACAUCAUUUAGUCACUGUUUUCAAAAGGCGCCCCUUUGCCUUGUACUUCACACUGUUUCACCGAUUUAGUCACUAUUAUCAAGGCGUGCCUGAGGUGCAGAGCACAAGGGACGCAGGUGGUGGCACCUGAAGGAGAAAGAGGCACAGGAUAUCACCCAGGCUCACCUAGGUCUAGCGAGGCGCGCCUAGGCACGCUCGAUAGAGUCCAAGCGCAUUUAAAAGAA
rnacentral:misc_RNA from 1 species